GACGAACGCUGGCGGCGUGCUUAACACAUGCAAGUCGAGCGGUAAGGCCCUUCGGGUACGACGAGCGGCGAACGGGUGAGUAACACGUGGGUGACCUGCCUCUAGCUCUGGGAUAAGCCUGGGAAACGUGGGUCUAAUACCGGAUAUGACUCCACGGCGCAUGUUGUGGGGUGGAAAGCCUUGUGUGGCUAGAGAUGGGCCCGCGGCCUAUCAGCUUGUUGGUGGGGUGAUGG
rnacentral:rRNA from 1 species